rnacentral:rRNA from 1 species
UACAGAGGUCUCAAGCGUUGUUCGGAUUCAUUGGGCGUAAAGGGUGCGUAGGUGGCGCCGUAAGUCGGGUGUGAAAUUUCGGAGCUUAACUCCGAAACUGCAUUCGAUACUGCGGUGCUUGAGGACUGGAGAGGCGAGUGGAAUUCCUGGUGUAGCGGUGAAAUGCGCAGAUAUCAGGAGGAACACCGAUGGCGAAGGCAGCUCGCUGGGACGGUACUGACGCUGAGGCGCGAAAGCGUGGGGAGCAAACAGG